rnacentral:rRNA from 1 species
UGGGGAAUUUUGGACAAUGGGCGCAAGCCUGAUCCAGCCAUGCCGCGUGCGGGAAGAAGGCCUUCGGGUUGUAAACCGCUUUUGUCAGGGAAGAAAUCUUCUGAGUUAAUACCUCGGGAGGAUGACGGUACCUGAAGAAUAAGCACCGGCUAACUACGUGCCAGCAGCCGCGGUAAUACGUAGGGUGCAAGCGUUAAUCGGAAUUACUGGGCGUAAAGCGUGCGCAGGCGGUUUUGUAAGACAGAGGUGAAAUCCCCGGGCUCAACCUGGGAACUGCCUUUGUGACUGCAAGGCUUGAGUGCGGCAGAGGGGGGAUGGAAUUCCGCGUGUAGCAGUGAAAUGCGUAGAUAUGCGGAGGAACACCGAUGGCGAAGGCAAUCCCCUGGGCCUGCACUGACGCUCAUGCACGAAAGCGUGGGGAGCAAACAGGAUUAGAUACCCUGGUAGUCCACGCCCUAAACGAUGUCAACUGGUUGUUGGGAAGGUUCCUUCUCAGUAACGUAGCUAACGCGUGAAGUUGACCGCCUGGGGAGUACGGCCGCAAGGUUG